UGAGGAAUAUUGCACAAUGGGGGAAACCCUGAUGCAGCCAUGCCGCGUGCAGGAAGAAGGCCUUCGGGUUGUAAAGCUCUUUCAGCUGGGAAGAUAAUGACGGUACCAGCAGAAGAAGCCCCGGCUAACUCUGUGCCAGCAGCCGCGGUAAUACAGAGGGUGCGAGCGUUAAUCGGAAUUACUGGGCGUAAAGCGUGCGCAGGCGGUGAUGUAAGACAGAUGUGAAAUCCCCGGGCUCAACCUGGGAACUGCGUUUGUGACUGCAUCACUCGAGUACGGCAGAGGGAGGUGGAAUUCCACGUGUAGCAGUGAAAUGCGUAGAGAUGUGGAGGAACACCGAUGGCGAAGGCAGCCUCCUGGGCCGGUACUGACGCUCAUGCACGAAAGCGUGGGGAGCAAA
rnacentral:rRNA from 1 species